rnacentral:lncRNA from 1 species
UGGUAUGUUAUCAAAUAUGAGGUCCAUAUCGCCCGGAUCACAAUCUUAGGAUAAGAGACCAAUCUAAAAUCCACGCUCCUAUUGGACAUCUCAUUUUUAUCGCUUGACUCUUCUUCUUUCUAUAUUCCACAUUUCUCACAUCAAUAAUAGCAAACAAAAACAAACCAAAUUGCAACUUCAAAGCCAGAAACCCUUAACAGCAACAAAGAAAUGGCAGCCACCAUAGGAACCAUGGCCAUGCUCAACGUCAAAUGCUUUACCAAAGCAUCUAUUAACAACCCUUCAAAGCCCAAACCCAUCUCUCUUCUCUCCCUUCAAAACCUCCCAAAAGGUCUAUUGACUUCCAAAACAUCUGAAAACACCUCAAACUUAUCAAGUUCCCUCACUGGAACAGCAAUUGCAGGUGCCAUUUUCUCAACCCUGAGCUCAUGCGACAGCGCUUUUGCCGCUCAACAAAUUGCUGACAUAGCAGAGGGAGACAACAGGGGUUUAGCACUUUUACUUCCUUUAAUUCCUGCUAUAGCAUGGGUUCUUUACAACAUUCUUCAACCAGCACUGAACCAAAUCAAUAAAAUGAGGAAUCAAGGAGUUAUUAUUGGUCUUGGUCUAACUGGUUUAGCAGCAUCAGGUUUUUUCCACACUCCAGAGGCUUCAGCUGCUAGUGAAAUUGCUAUGAUUGCAGAUGCAGCAAGUGACAACAGAGGACAACUUUUGUUGAUUGUUGUGACUCCUGCUUUGCUUUGGGUUGCUUACAAUAUUCUACAGCCAGCUUUGAAUCAGAUCAACAAGAUGAGACAGUGAGGAUCAUGUUUUGUAAAAGUGUGCAGUUGUAUUUGGACAAUAUUACUUAUAUAAAGUUGCACCUUUUUGACUUUUAUCAAUCAACUUGUCCUUAAAAAAAACCAUUUUGUUUUAUGGAUAACUUUCUUUCAAACUUAUUUAGUAGGAUUGAAUAAAAUUGUGUAUUAUUUGUAAUCAAAAGAUUGUUCUCAACUUAUAUAUAUGAAAUUAGUUGUAUUUACUUGAUCUGUUGUCUGUAUAUAGGUAUGACAUUAAUCAAAAUCAGGGGACCAAGAUUUUAGGUUUAAGGGCUUAUUAUUGGCAGAUUGGAAUUUAACCACAUAAUUCCCUUCAUUAUGUAGGAAUAUCUCAGGCUCAGUAAUACUAAACCAUGUUUGAUUAACAUAUACUCCUCACCAUGUAAUUGUACCAUGGGCUGUCACCAAUGAUGUACACAAUCAAAGCACUGCUCCAUUUCUCAAUCUCCUUCUCCACUUCUGUUUUUCUGAUUGGACAAUAAUUUUACUAUUAGUAUUCUGGGGGGAACAUAAGAGAGAUUUAAUUCCAUUUUAAGCAUAGCAAUUUCUAACAAAUAGAUUUACCUAUGUAUUUCCCGGGGGCUCUUUUUCCUCUUCAAAAAUUACUGGAUCUGCGUAGUUGAAAGAAAAAUAUUUUGUUAUAAAUCUAUCUUUACAAUUCUUUAUUUCCUCCACACAUCUCCACACACAAAAUAAACUAUCAAUACCCCCGGUUAUAAUAAGAAAUUAGUUCAACUCCUUCAGGUAACAUUGUUCUAAUAAGAAUACAUACCAAAAAGUUCUAUUCUAACGAUUAUUUGCAAAUGAACUUGAGCCAAAUUAACUAACUUGAGGUGCGUCUACGUAAUUGAAGUAAAUAAGCACAUUGCUUAACCUGUUGAGCCCGUACACAACACGGGCAACAUUCUUGCUUGAGAAUAAAUAAAAAGGGAGAGUAGAAACUUAUAUUGUUUUGUGGUGCACAAUUUAAGUCAAUAAAGUAUAUUGUAAUGGUCCAAAGAAGAGGAAUUGAAUCUCUGAGUGGACAAUCUGCAGGUUAUAUUUGAAUUUCAUUAGGAGCAAAACCAUUAUUGAACUAAUGUCACUAUAUCAACAACAAAACCUUGGAGGC